AAGGUCCAAUGGGCCGUUGGGCCCAUUGGGUAAAGAGAUCAACCUAACAUUCUCCCCCUUGAUCUCAUCAUAUACUUUUAACUUUACCCGUUUCGUAACAGAUCAAUACAUAGGGCAUGUUUCAUCGUCACGGCUCAAUUGCCGAUGGAAUCAGACAGCCACAAUGUACCUCUCUAUUUUGAGACAGAUUCUUUAACCUUGGGCCCUUUGUUGUCCGGAAAUAUUAGACUAUACC
rnacentral:lncRNA from 1 species